rnacentral:rRNA from 1 species
CAGCAUGGUGUAGCAAUACACUGAUGGCGACCGGCAAACGGGUGCGGAACACGUACGCAACCUUCCUUUAAGUGGAGAAUAGCCCGGGGAAACCCGGAUUAAUACUCCGUAACAUUAUGAAGUGGCAUCAUUUUAUAAUUAUAGCUCCGGCGCUUAAAGAUGGGCGUGCGCCUGAUUAGGUAGUUGGCGGGGUAACGGCCCACCAAGCCUACGAUCAGUAACUGGUGUGAGAGCACGACCAGUCACACGGGCACUGAGACACGGGCCCGACUCCUACGGGAGGCAGCAGUAAGGAAUAUUGGUCAAUGGACGCAAGUCUGAACCAGCCAUGCCGCGUGGAGGAUGAAGGUCCUCUGGAUUGUAAACUUCUUUUAUUUGGGAAGAAACCCACGAUUUCUAUUGUGGUUGACGGUACCAGAUGAAUAAGCACCGGCUAACUCCGUGCCAGCAGCCGCGGUAAUACGGAGGGUGCAAGCGUUAUCCGGAUUCACUGGGUUUAAAGGGUGCGUAGGCGGGUUGGUAAGUCCGUGGUGAAAUCUCCAAGCUUAACUUGGAAACUGCCGUGGAUACUCUCAAUCUUGAAUAUCGUGGAGGUGAGCGGAAUAUGUCAUGUAGCGGUGAAAUGCUUAGAUAUGACAUAGAACACCCAUUGCGAAGGCAGCUCGCUACACGGUUAUUGACGCUGAGGCACGAAAGCGUGGGGAUCAAACAGGAUUAGAUACCCUGGUAGUCCACGCCCUAAACGAUGAUUACUCGACAUCAGCGAUACACUGUUGGUGUCUGAGCGAAAGCAUUAAGUA